CCAGCUUCAUAACGACUUCUGCUGCUUCCACAGAUCGUCUAUAGACGUUAAUACACUCCGUACGCACUGUGUGGUGUGUAUGCAAGAUUUUGGGGAUGUUUGAAGACCCCCCCCCAACCUCCCGGACUCUGCACUCCCUCUGCUGGAGGGAAUUUAGUGUGUGUCUAAAUAAAUCCACUGUGAGCAUGAACAACUUGAGAGAAGGAAAACAGGGAGCAGGGAGGAGAGGGAAACACACUGGCUGCAUUUAAACUCACUGAAAAACUCCUUUAAAAUCACGACAUCGUCCUCUACUGUGACGCCGUGUUUCCCCCUGAGGAAAAAUAAACUGUCUUAAUGAGAGAGAGGUAGAAGGAGGAUUUAGAUCAAUGUAAAAACACUGCAUAGACAUUAAAGGUCAUAAUGAUUAUGUCGUAA